rnacentral:tRNA from 1 species
GGGGGCGUGGUCUAGGUAUCGGUGGCUUGCCCUCCGAUAGGAGAACUUGGUAUGAACCCGAUAGGUGCUCUCCUACCGGGGUGCAAUUCCUGCCUGGGGCGCAGGCGGUCCCGAGUUCAAGUCUCGGCGCCCCCACCA